rnacentral:rRNA from 1 species
AGGACGAACGCUGGCGGCGUGCUUAACACAUGCAAGUCGAGCGGUAAGGCCUUUCGGGGUACACGAGCGGCGAACGGGUGAGUAACACGUGGGUGAUCUGCCCUGCACUUCGGGAUAAGCCUGGGAAACUGGGUCUAAUACCGGAUAUGACCUCCUAUCGCAGUGGUGGGUGGUGGAAAGAUUUAUCGGUGCAGGAUCGGGCCCGCGGCCUAUCAGUCUUGGUUGGUGGGUAAUCGGCCUACCGAAGGCGACGACGGGUAGCCGACCGUGACGGAGGGUCGACCGGCCACGACGUGGACUGAGACGACGGCCCAGACCUCCGUACGGGAGCAGCGAGGUGGGAAUAGUG